AAAACAUAAAUUUUUUAAAUUUAUCAAUAGUGACAUUGUAACACUAUUAUCUGUCAUAAAUCUCUGAAUAACACCCCACAUGUACAUAUUUUUUUUAAAGUAGACAACCCAGGGUAUUCAAUAUGGGGCAUGUCCAGUCUUUUUUAGUAGCCACUUAGUCGAAAACACUGGCCAAAGUAAGCAUUCAUAUUUGUUUGUGUGAAAAAAGUAAAAAAACUAAAUUGAACGCUAAUUUUGGCCAG
rnacentral:lncRNA from 1 species